UACGGAGGGAGCUAGCGUUGUUCGGAAUUACUGGGCGUAAAGCGCACGUAGGCAGCUUUGUAAGUUAGAGGUGAAAGCCCGGGGCUCAACUCCGGAACUGCCUUUAAGACUGCAUCGCUUGAAUCCGGGAGAGGUGAGUGGAAUUCCGAGUGUAGAGGUGAAAUUCGUAGAUAUUCGGAAGAACACCAGUGGCGAAGGCGGCUCACUGGACCGGUAUUGACGCUGAGGUGCGAAAGCGUGGGGAGCAAACAGG
rnacentral:rRNA from 1 species